ensembl:lncRNA
AUACAGGUUACAUACAUACAGGUUACAUACAUACAGGUUACAUACAUACAGGUUACAUACAUACAGGUUACAUACAGGUUACAUACAUACAGGUUACAUACAUACAGGUUACAUACAUACAGGUUACAUACAUACAGGUUACAUACAUACAGGUUACAUACAGGUUACAUACAUACAGGUUACAUACAUACAGGUUACAUACAUACAUGUUACAUACAUACAUGUUACAUACAUACAUGUUACAUACAUACAGGUUACAUACAUACAGGUUACAUACAUACAGGUUACAUACAUACAGG